rnacentral:tRNA from 1 species
GUAAAUUUAGUAUAUAAGUAUAUCUGAUUUCCAAUCAAAUGGUAAGAAAUUAUU